GGGAGUAGCAAUACAACUGGUGGCGACCGGCGCACGGGUGAGUAACGCGUAUGCAACCUAUCUAUCAGAGGGGAAUAACCCGGCGAAAGUCGGACUAAUACCGCAUAAAACAGGGGCACCGCAUGGUGCUAUUUGUUAAAGAAAUUCGCUGAUAGAUGGGCAUGCGUUCCAUUAGGUAGUUGGUGAGGUAACGGCUCACCAAGCCGACGAUGGAUAGGGGAACUGAGAGGUUGGUCCCCCACACUGGUACUGAGACACGGACCAGACUCCUACGGGAGGCAGCAGUGAGGAAUAUUGGUCAAUGGGCGAGAGCCUGAACCAGCCAAGUCGCGUGAAGGAAGAAGGAUCUAUGGUUCGUAAACUUCUUUUGCAGGGGAAUAAAGUGCGGGACGUGUCCUGUUUUGUAUGUACCCUGAGAAUAAGGAUCGGCUAACUCCGUGCCAGCAGCCGCGGUAAUACGGAGGAUCCGAGCGUUAUCCGGAUUUAUUGGGUUUAAAGGGUGCGUAGGUGGUUUUAUAAGUCAGCGGUGAAAGUUUGCAGCUUAACUGUAAAAAUGCCGUUGAAACUGUAAGACUUGAGUGUAAAUGAGGUAGGCGGAAUGCGUGGUGUAGCGGUGAAAUGCAUAGAUAUCACGAAGAACUCCGAUUG
rnacentral:rRNA from 1 species